UACGAAGGGGACUAGCGUUGUUCGGAAUCACUGGGCGUAAAGCGCACGUAGGCGGAUUCGUAAGUCAGGGGUGAAAUCCCAGAGCUCAACUCUGGAACUGCCUUUGAUACUGGGUGUCUAGAGUAUGGAAGAGGUGAGUGGAAUUCCGAGUGUAGAGGUGAAAUUCGUAGAUAUUCGGAGGAACACCAGUGGCGAAGGCGGCUCACUGGUCCAUUACUGACGCUGAGGUGCGAAAGCGUGGGGAGCAAACAGG
rnacentral:rRNA from 1 species